rnacentral:rRNA from 1 species
UACGUAGGGGGCAAGCGUUGUCCGGAUUUAUUGGGCGUAAAAGGCUUGUAGGUGGCCACGCCAAGUCGGAUGUGAAAUACUCCCGGCUCAACUGGGGAGGGGUCAUUCGAUACUGGACGGGGCUCGAGGCCGGUAGGGGGAAGUGGAAGUUCCCGGUGUAGUGGUGGAAUGCGUAGGAUAUCAGGAGGAACACCGAUGGCGAAGGCAGAUCUCUGGGCCGUAACUGACGCUGAGGAGGCGGAAAAGCGAUGGGGGAGCCGUAACGGAAGGCAAUU